ensembl:lncRNA
GUCAGAGUCAGCGUUGAAAUGCCAUUGUUGAAGUGCGCCGGAAGUGUUCAUGCACAACGAAGACAAGUCCCGCCACCGGAACCCGGAAGCGUGAUAAUCCCCUAUUGGAUGCAGUUGGAAUAACUGAGGUCUGCCCGGAUGCUACAUCCAUUUUCUAUACUGUCACAUCAUGGACUUCACGACAUCCAGCUCAGAUUGCGUAGUCGUGCGUGUGCGCGUGUCGGCUCAUUACCAUAUGUACCGUGGCCUGAGCACACCCCUCCAAAGUGCUCAGGCCAUGGAAAGAACUGUACUUGAGUACGGUUGGCGUGCUCACACUAGCCAAACGAUCUAGAUUUUAGAGUUGUCAAACGGACUAGGGCACGGUACAGAUGGCCUAGUGUGAGUGAGCCCUUAAGCAACGAGACAAGCAUGAUACAAGUGUGAAAGCCAGCCUUUAAAUUCUAGUAUUUUGAUCAGUAAAGGUAUUCUGUCCUAACAACUGCGUCCUUGGAAGGCGUAGACAGAUAGCUAACUAGAAAGAAUGUGGAAUGAAUGAAGCUCCAGAACGUUUCUUCGAUGCAAAUGUUCUUUUACUGUUUACAUUGUUGCUCUCAUUCUUUUUAAGUAAAACUGUAAAAUAAACAGAAAGACAUCAAAUUACCAUAUGUCAAAUUACUAUCUCAUCAACAUGUGCAUUAUAUUCACAAGCAGCAU